ACUGAACCAGCCAUCCGCGUGCAGGACGAAGGCCCUCUGGGUUGUAAACUGCUUUUAACAGGGAAGAAACGCCUGGACUUGUCCGGGCCUGACGGUACCUGUGGAAUAAGCACCGGCUAACUCCGUGCCAGCAGCCGCGGUAAUACGGAGGGUGCGAGCGUUAUCCGGAAUCACUGGGUUUAAAGGGUGCGUAGGCGGCCUGGUAAGUCAGGGGUGAAAGCUUCCCGCUCAACGGGAGAACUGCCCUUGAUACUGCCGGGCUCGAAUUGGGUUGAGGCUGGCGGAAUGUGGCAUGUAGCGGUGAAAUGCUUAGAUAUGCCAUAGAACACCGAUUGCGAAGGCAGCCAGCCAAGCCUUGAUUGACGCUGAGGCACGAAAGCGUGGGGAGCGAACAGGAUUAGAUACCCUGGUAGUCCACGCCCUAAACGAUGCUUACUCGACGUCCGGCCCCUGUGGUCGUGCGUCCAAGCGAAAGCGUUAAGUAAGCCACCUGGGG
rnacentral:rRNA from 1 species